AACGAACGCUGGCGGCAGGCCUAACACAUGCAAGUCGAGCGAAGCCUUCGGGCUUAGCGGCGGACGGGUGAGUAACGCGUGGGAACGUGCCCUUUGGUACGGAAUAGCCCCGGGAAACUGGGAGUAAUACCGUAUGUGGUCGAGAGACGAAAGAUUUAUCGCCAAAGGAUCGGCCCGCGUUGGAUUAGGUAGUUGGUGGGGUAAUGGCCUACCAAGCCGACGAUCCAUAGCUGGUUUGAGAGGAUGAUCAGCCACACUGGGACUGAGACACGGCCCAGACUCCUACGGGAGGCAGCAGUGGGGAAUCUUAGACAAUGGGGGAAACCUUGAUCUAGCCAUGCCGCGUGAUCGAUGAAGGCCUUAGGGUUGUAAAGAUCUUUCAGUGGGGAAGAUAAUGACUGUACCCACAGAAGAAGCCCCGACUAACUCCGUGCCAGCCGCCGCCGUAAUAC
rnacentral:rRNA from 1 species